rnacentral:lncRNA from 1 species
AGUGUGAAGAUUCAUGGCUUUCAAGCCAAAUGAUCAAUCUUAUGGCCACAUUCAUGACAUAGUUUGUUUAAAUGAUCUCAUAUUGUGCACAAGGGUGCAUCUUGGAAUGGCAGACAAUGUUUCCUAAGGAAGUUUUCAUUUUCUUUGGAAGAAAAUUUCAUUUUCCAUUUUUCGAGUGCCCGAAAUGAGUUUUUUUGUGAAGGACCUAUUAUAUAUUUGUUGCAAAAUUGUACCAAAUCAAUUUUCUAAAAUACUAGGACAUAUUUAGUGCACAAUUGACCAAAUGGUUGGGUGUAAAAAGUUUUGAUCCACCUCUCAUGAAAAAGACAAAUUCCUGCCGAUUCAGCCGGAAGCGGGUCAAAUUUGAACCGUAGCUACCUCGUAGUUUGCUCUUUAUUUUUUCCAAAAAUCAUUUAUAGGUACAUAAGUAUCUCUUUAAUCAGAGAAACAUCAAAAGGUCUCCAAGAUUCAACAACUAGCUAGGAACGGUCAAGCCCGCCGUUUUGACCGCAUUUUGAAACGGGGAUUAAAAAUUCAAAAAAACCAAAAAAUUGGAAAACCUUCGCAUUGUGUCAUCAUAUGUGACCAAGUUUCCAGCAAAAAUAAUAAACUUGUAAUACGGCAAUUAUUUUAAAAAAGUGUUCUCAGAAACGAGCUAUCAAGUGUGAAAAUUCAUGGCUUUCGAGCCAAAUGAUCAAUCUUAUGGCCACAUUCAUGACAUAGUUUGUUCAAGUGAUCUCAUAUUGUGCGCAAGGGUGCAUCUUGGAAUACAGACAAUGUUUCCUAAGGAAGUUUUCAUUUUCUAUGGAAGAAAAAUUCAUUUUCCAUUUUUCGAGUGCCCGAAAUGAGCUUUUUUGUGAAGGACCUAUAAUAUGUUUGUGACAAAAUUGUACCAAUUCAAUUUCCUAAAAUACUGUGACAUAUUUAAUGCACAAUUGACCAAAUGGUUGGGUGUAAAAAGUUUUGAUCCACCUCUCGUGAAAAUGACAAAUUCCCGCCGAUACAGCCGGAAGCGGGUCAAAUUUGAACCGUAGCUACCUCGUAGUUUGCUCUUUCUUUUUUCCAAAAAUCAUUUCUAGGUACAUAAGUAUCUAUUUAAUCAGAGAAACAUCAAAAGGUCUCCAAGAUUCAACAACUAGCUAGGAACGGUCAACCCGCCGUAUUGACCGCAUUUUGAAACAGCCAUAAAAACUUCAAAAAAAUCACAAAAUUGGAAAACCUUCGCAUUGUGUCAUCAUCUGUGACCAAGUUUCCAGCAAAUAUAAUAAACUUGUAAUACGGCAAUUAUUUUAAAAAAGUGUUCUCAGAAACGAGCUAUCAUGUGUGAAGUUUCAUGGCUUUCAAGCCAAAUGAUCAAUCUUAUGGCCACAUUCAUGACAUAGUUUGUUCAAAUGAUCUCAUAUUGUGCACAAGGGUGCAUCUUUGAAUGGCAGACAGUGUUUCCUAUGGAAGUUUUCAUUUUCUUUGGAAGAAAAAUUCAUUUUCCAUUUUUCGAGUGCCCGAAAUGAGUUUUUUUGUGAAGAACAUAUAAUAUAUUUGUUGCAAAAUUGUACCAAAUCAAUUUCCAAAAAUACUAGGACAUAUUUAAUGCACAAUUGACCAAAUGGUUGGGUGUAAAAAGUUUGAUCCACCUCUCGUGAAAAGGACAAAUUCUCGCCGAUUCAGCCGGAAGCGGGUCAAAUUUGAACUUUAGCUACCUCGUAGUUUUCUCUUUAUUUUUUGCAAAAAUCAUUUCUAGGUACAUAAGUAUCUAUUAAAUCAGAGAAACAUCAAAAGGUCUCCAAGAUUCAACAACUAGCUAGGAACGGUCAAGCCCGUCGUUUUGACCGCAUUUUGAAACGGGCAUAAAAAAUUAAAAAAAAACAAAAAAUGGGAAACCCUUCCCAUUGUGUCACCAUAUGUGACCUAGUUUCCAGCAAAAAUAAUAAACUUGUAGUUAGAAACGAGCUAUCAAGUGUGAAGAUUCAUGGCUUUCAAGCCAAAUGAUCAAUCUUAUGGCCACAUUCAUGACAUAGUUUGUUCAAAUGAUCUCAUAUUGUGCACAAGGCUGCAUCUUGGAAUGGCAGACAAUCUUGCCUAAGGAAAGUUUUCACUUUCUUUCGACGAAAAAUUCAUUUUGCAUUUUUUGAGUGCCCGAAAUGAGUUUUUUUGUGAAGGACCUAUAAUAUAUUGGUCGCAAAAUUGUACCAAAUUAAUUUUCUAAAAUACUAGGACAUAUUUAAUGCACAAUUGACCAAAUGGUUGCGUGUAAAAAGUUUUGAUCCACCUCUCGUGAAAAAGACAAAUUCCUGCCGAUUCAGGUGGAAGCGGGUCAAAUUUGAUCCGUAGCUACCUCGUAGUUUGCUCUUUAUUUUUUCCAAAAAUCAUUUCUAGGUACAUAAGUAUCUAUUUAAUCAGAGAAACAUCAAAAGGUCGCCAAGAUUCAACAACUAGCUACGAACGGUCAAGCCCGCCGUUUUGACCGCAUUUUGAAACGGGCAUAAAAAAUUCAAAAAAAAUCAAAAAAUUGGAAAACCUUUGCAUUGUGUCAUCAUAUGUGACUAAGUUCCCAGCAAAUAUAGUAAACUUGUAAUACGGCAAUUAUUUUAAAAAAGUGUUCUCAGAAACGAGCUAUCAAGUGUGAAGAUUCAUGGCUUUCAAGCCAAAUGAUCUUUCUUAUGGCCACAUUCAUGCCAUAGUUUGUUCAAAUGAUCUUAUAUUGUGCGCAAGGAUAUAUCUUGGAAUGGCAGAUAAUGUUUCCUAAGGAAGUUUUCAUUUUCUUUGGAUGAAAAAAUCAUUUUCCAUUUUUCGAGUGCCCGAAAUGAGUUUUUUUGUGAAGGACCUAUAAUAUAUUUGUUGCGAAAUUGUACCAAAUCAAUUUCCUAACACUAGGACAUAUUUAAAUGCACAAUUGACCAAAUGGUUGGGUGUAAAAAGUUUUGAUCCACCUCUCGUGAAAAUGACAAAUUCCCGCCGAUACAGCCGGAAGCGGGUCAAAUUUGAACCGUAGCUACCUCGUAGUUUGCUCUUUAUUUUUUCCAAAAAUCAUUUCUAGGUACAUAAGUAUCUAUUUAAUCAGAGAAACAUCAAAAGGUCUCCAAGAUUCAACAACUAGCUAGGAACGGUCAACCCGCCGUAUUGACCGCAUUUUGAAACAGCCAUAAAAACUUAAAAAAAAUCACAAAAUUGGAAAACCUUCGCAUUGUAUCAUCAUCUGUGACCAAGUUUCGAGCAAAUAUAAUAAACUUGUAAUACGGCAAUUAUUUUAAAAAAGUGUUCUCAGAAACGAGCUAUCAUGUGUGAAGUUUCAUGGCUUUCAAGCCAAAUGAUCAAUCUUAUGGCCACAUUCAUGACAUAGUUUGUUCAAAUGAUCUCAUAUUGUGCACAAGGGUGCAUCUUUGAAUGGCAGACAGUGUUUCCUAUGGAAGUUUUCAUUUUCUUUGGAAGAAAAAUUCAUUUUCCAUUUUUCGAGUGCCCGAAAUGAGUUUUUUUGUGAAGAACCUAUAAUAUAUUUGUUGCAAAAUUGUACCAAAUCAAUUUCCAAAAAUACUAGGACAUAUUUAAUGCACAAUUGACCAAAUGGUUGGGUGUAAAAAGUUUGAUCCACCUCUCGUGAAAAGGACAAAUUCUCGCCGAUUCAGCCGGAAGCGGGUCAAAUUUGAACUUUAGCUACCUCGUAGUUUUCUCUUUAUUUUUUGCAAAAAUCAUUUCUAGGUACAUAAGUAUCUAUUAAAUCAGAGAAACAUCAAAAGGUCUCCAAGAUUCAACAACUAGCUAGGAACGGUCAAGCCCGUCGUUUUGACCGCAUUUUGAAACAGGCAUAAAAAAUUAAAAAAAAACAAAAAAUGGGAAACCCUUCCCAUUGUGUCACCAUAUGUGACCUAGUUUCCAGCAAAAAUAAUAAACUUGUAGUUAGAAACGAGCUAUCAAGUGUGAAGAUUCAUGGCUUUCAAGCCAAAUGAUCAAUCUUAUGGCCACAUUCAUGACAUAGUUUGUUCAAAUGAUCUCAUAUUGUGCACAAGGCUGCAUCUUGGAAUGGCAGACAAUCUUGCCUAAGGAAAGUUUUCACUUUCUUUCGACGAAAAAUUCAUUUUGCAUUUUUUGAGUGCCCGAAAUGAGUUUUUUUGUGAAGGACCUAUAAUAUAUUGGUCGCAAAAUUGUACCAAAUUAAUUUUCUAAAAUACUAGGACAUAUUUAAUGCACAAUUGACCAAAUGGUUGCGUGUAAAAAGUUUUGAUCCACCUCUCGUGAAAAAGACAAAUUCCUGCCGAUUCAGGUGGAAGCGGGUCAAAUUUGAUCCGUAGCUACCUCGUAGUUUGCUCUUUAUUUUUUCCAAAAAUCAUUUCUAGGUACAUAAGUAUCUAUUUAAUCAGAGAAACAUCAAAAGGUCGCCAAGAUUCAACAACUAGCUACGAACGGUCAAGCCCGCCGUUUUGACCGCAUUUUGAAACGGGCAUAAAAAAUUCAAAAAAAAUCAAAAAAUUGGAAAACCUUUGCAUUGUGUCAUCAUAUGUGACUAAGUUCCCAGCAAAUAUAGUAAACUUGUAAUACGGCAAUUAUUCUAAAAAAGUGUUCUCAGAAACGAGCUAUCAAGUGUGAAGAUUCAUGGCUUUCAAGCCAAAUGAUCUUUCUUAUGGCCACAUUCAUGCCAUAGUUUGUUCAAAUGAUCUUAUAUUGUGCGCAAGGAUAUAUCUUGGAAUGGCAGAUAAUGUUUCCUAAGGAAGUUUUCAUUUUCUUUGGAUGAAAAAAUCAUUUUCCAUUUUUCGAGUGCCCGAAAUGAGUUUUUUUGUGAAGGACCUAUAAUAUAUUUGUUGCAAAAUUGUACCAAAUCAAUUUCCU